UACGAAGGGGGCUAGCGUUGCUCGGAAUCACUGGGCGUAAAGCGCACGUAGGCGGCUUUCUAAGUCAGGGGUGAAAUCCUGGAGCUCAACUCCAGAACUGCCUUUGAUACUGGAGAGCUUGAGUCCGGGAGAGGUGAGUGGAACUCCGAGUGUAGAGGUGAAAAUUCGUAGAUAUUGGGAAGAAACACCAGUGGCGAAGGCGGCUCACUGGUCCGGUACUGACGCUGAGGUGCGAAAAGCGUGGGGAGCAAACGGG
rnacentral:rRNA from 1 species